UGCCAGUUGCAUUUUGUCUGAUAUAGUUAAGCAUGUGAGAAUUAGGUUUACUGAUUGCUUGAUAUCCCCUCUUACAUGAAGUGGGUUUCUAAGGAUUUUUUUACAAGGCUGAAUACUAGUGCUAAACAAUAUGUCUUGGGAAUAGAGUCCCACAGGAGUUCGGCUCCCGUGUGUGAGUUCUGCACAAUGAGAGGAAUGCAGUCAGACCCCGAAAUUAAAC